UACGUAGGGGGCAAGCGUUAUCCGGAUUUACUGGGUGUAAAGGGAGCGUAGACGGCAGUGCAAGUCUGGAGUGAAAGGCGGGGGCCCAACCCCCGGACUGCUCUGGAAACUAUGUUACUAGAGUGCAGGAGAGGUAAGCGGAAUUCCUAGUGUAGCGGAGAAAUGCGUAGAUAUUAGGAGGAACACCAGUGGCGAAGGCGGCUUACUGGACUGUAACUGACGUUGAGGCUCGAAAGCGUGGGGAGCAAACAGG
rnacentral:rRNA from 1 species